UACGGGGGGAGCAAGCGUUGUUCGGAUUUACUGGGCGUAAAGGGCGCGUAGGCGGCCACCGCAAGUCGACUGUGAAAUCUCCGGGCUUAACCCGGAAAGGUCAGCCGAUACUGCGGGGCUAGAGUGCAGAAGGGGCAACUGGAAUUCUCGGUGUAGCGGUGAAAUGCGUAGAUAUCGAGAGGAACACCUGCGGCGAAGGCGGCUCUCUGGAACGCAACUGACGCUGAGACGCGAAAGCGUGGGGAGCAAACAGG
rnacentral:rRNA from 1 species